UUAUUUUUGAGGUUUUCGGCAAGUUUUAGCUUGCGGGUCAUUAUCCAUGCAUGUAGGGGUGUGGUUGCGGUGGAAAAGUGGUCGGGUAUUGAAAGGGGUCGAAACCGCGGUAAACCUCUAGUUGGUGCGGUAGAGAGGGAGGGGUGGAGACCGUGGUAAACACGACACGUGUACGUUCUUGAGCGGGAGAGUAACUGGUACGGUGCAGUAUUCGUUUUUAGGAAGCGUUGGCAAAGAGUGCUCGAUCGUGUUUGUGGUGGAGCCGGGAGGCGGGAGCAUAUAUAAUGGACGAAGACGGGGGAAACAUGUCGGAUGCGAUCAUACGAGCACUAAAGCACCGGAUCCUCGUGUAAGCGCGGUUCC
rnacentral:rRNA from 1 species